rnacentral:tRNA from 12 species
CGGGUAGUGGCUCAGCUUGGUAGAGCGCCUGGUUCGGGACUAGGAGGUCGCAAGUUCAAAUCUUGUCUACCCGACCA